rnacentral:rRNA from 1 species
ACUCAAAUGAAUUGACGGGGGCCCGCACAAGCGGUGGAGCAUGUGGUUCAAUUCGAAGCAACGCGAAGAACCUUACCAGCCUUUGACAUCCCGGUCGCGAGCACCAGAGAUGGAGCUCUUCAGUUCGGCUGGACCGGAGACAGGUGCUGCAUGGCUGUCGUCAGCUCGUGUCGUGAGAUGUUGGGUUAAGUCCCGCAACGAGCGCAACCCUCGCCCUUAGUUGCCAUCAUUUAGUUGGGCACUCUAAGGGGACUGCCGGUGAUAAGCCGGAGGAAGGUGGGGAUGACGUCAAGUCCUCAUGGCCCUUACAGGCUGGGCUACACACGUGCUACAAUGGCGGUGACAGAGGGACGCAAAGGAGUAAUCCUUCGCAAAUCUCAAAAAGCCGUCUCAGUUCGGAUUGUGCUCUGCAACUCGAGCACAUGAAGUUGGAAUCGCUAGUAAUCGCAGAUCAGCACGCUGCGGUGAAUACGUUCCCGGGCCUUGUACACACCGCCCGU